UGAGGAAUAUUGGUCAAUGGGCGAGAGCCUGAACCAGCCAAGUCGCGUGAAGGAAGACAGUCCUAAGGAUUGUAAACUUCUUUUAUACGGGAAUAACGGGCGAUACGAGUAUUGCAUUGAAUGUACCGUAAGAAUAAGCAUCGGCUAACUCCGUGCCAGCAGCCGCGGUAAUACGGAGGAUCCGAGCGUUAUCCGGAUUUAUUGGGUUUAAAGGGAGCGUAGGCGGGCGCUUAAGUCAGCUGUGAAAGUUUGGGGCUCAACCUUAAAAUUGCAGUUGAUACUGGGUGCCUUGAGUGCAGUAUAGGCAGGCGGAAUUCGUGGUGUAGCGGUGAAAUGCUUAGAUAUCACGAAGAACUCCUAUUGCGAAGGCAGCUUGCUGGAGUGUAACUGACGCUGAUGCUCGAAAGUGUGGGUAUCAAACAGGAUUAGAUACCCUGGUAGUCCACACAGUAAACGAUGAAUACUCGCUGUUUGCGAUAUACUGCAAGCGGCCAAGCGAAAGCGUUAAGUAUUCCACCUGGGGAGUACGCCGGCNACGGUG
rnacentral:rRNA from 1 species